CUAAAAACUAGGUACCUGAAGUUUUAUUAAUCUGCUUAGCACAGUAUCACAUCUGGCACAGUAACUAUAAUCAUCAGGUUUACUACUUGAUUAAGUCUGUAAUAGUACACAGUUAUUCUCCAGGACCCAGCUGGUUUCUGCACGGACCACAUUGGUCAUCAUGAGUGAAGUCUUGAGCCACUGAGCCACUACCACCUUGUGCCAAAUACUAUCUGUGCCCUGCCUGCCAACCAGGAUGACAACCCUUCACCUGCCAGGUGGAGAGAGACAGCAGCAGGCUAACUAGUUGUCUGUUAAGAACAUCCAGAGCAGGACCAGAAUCUGGGCCAGGAACUGAGAGACAGAUUGGGACAACGGAACAAAUCUACCAGGGUAUGCUGGCCAACUUAGUCUUCUAUUAUGAUCAAGGAAGGAUGGCGCCUGAGAGGUCAUUACUAUGUGACUGGUCUUCAUAUAUUGCUUCUAUGUUUGAUUCUUCCUCCAGAAAUGUUUCAAUAGCAAACUCAAUGAGUUUACGUAGCCAGAAUCUUAGUCAAUAACCUACUCUGCAGUAUCUUAGGGCUGACUUUGUACAUAUGGAAGUCAGCCAGAUCUCAUGAGUGGAUCAUUAAGCUAGAAUUAUUUUCUUGGCACACGUUACAGUAAGGUAAUAUAUGACCUAGGCCUAAGGCAGGCCAUCAACCUGUCAAGAGUAAUGACCCCCAGGGGUAAGGCCUUGCUGUCUCCACCUCAAGGAUGGGUCUUCAAAGUGGAGACAAUAUAGUCCCUAUGGUUUCUACAUGCUUAAUGAGUCUGUUAUGUGAAUUAUAAAGAUAAUAUCUAUGGGGACUUUGAGCUCCUACAAUAAAAAUGUAUAAAUAUAAUCCAAGAAAUUCUGGUAGACAAACAUUGUAAUAAUGCAUAUCAGUCUUUGUAUCUCCAUUUAGUUUUUUUAAAACUUGGCUUGUGUCCAGAAGUAUGCACAGAUAUACAUAGCAAAUGCUCAGUGCUGAAUGUUUAGCUAAAUCCUGUGCUUCAAAGCAAGGAUGAAUAGAUUUUCAUCAGAGCUCAGGACCUGAACUGUAGGCUUCCCUCACAAUGAGAAGUAAAGCUAAGUAUAGGUGAAUCCUGAGUGGCACAUAUUCUAUGAGAGUUUUAUACAUAAUUUGAAUGAUUGAUAUGCUGCAUCUUUCAUUGAAAUGAUUGUCAACCAAUAUUAUUUCAAGUGUUAUUUCCAUGCUAUUUCUAGUUCUGUAUGUUUUACGUAAUUAUAAAUGGCUUCAUAUUUUCAUGUAACAUUGUAUGAUAUGAUUUGGGUUCUAACAGGUUAUCCUUGACACCAGUAUAGAAUACCCAGAAUUAAUUUAAGGUAUAUUAUCAAACCACUAAAAUUAGGAUGUCCAUGAAUUCUGAAGGAGAAAAUAUCAUUUAGAUUGUGUGUGUGUGUGUGUGUGUGUGCGCGUGUGUGUGUGUCCUCUAAGUUUUAAACAUGAGGUGGUUAUAUAAAGGGGACUUCUAAAUUGGGAGAGGAUGAAAAUGGGCUAAAUAUUUCAAACAAACUUCAGUGUGAAAUCAGUAGUAUAUUCAGUAGAGGUGACAGGGAAAAAAGCUGUGGAGGAGAAAAGAGAACAAGAAAAUCAGGAAGCAGUAAAAAUGAUGACUGAGGUCAGGUGGUAAUGGUAACAUCAAGAAACUUGAAUCUGAUGGAAAAAAACCACGGGUAGCUAUAAAAGGGGCAUUCGAAAUAGGAAAUGAUGUGAGAGGAGAAGAUAAUUUUAGUAUAGUUAAAGGAGGUAGCAGCUAUAGGUGUGAAGAGAACGGAUUAAUUUUAAAUGUGUCCCAGAAGUAAGAGAAAUAUUUUUUUGAGGAGUGGGGGAGGAACAAUGAGAUAAACCUGGUUGAGUGUUUUAUGGUUAUCUCAAGUAAGAGUCCACUUGGAGUAUUAUGUCCAUUUUUGGACACCAUACUUUCAUAGGCAUGUUGAUGAACCAGGUCAUUCAAGACACCAGGGUAGUGAGAAGUGUGUUAAUAGUGCUUCUACCAGAGAGUUAGAGUGACAUGGCAGCUGUCCUCAUAUCUAUCGAUCUGUCAUAAGGAAGAAAGAUCACAUGCCUCUGCAUUGUUUAAAAGAAAGAAACAGACCCAAAGAAAGUCAGGAGGCAGAUUUUGCUCAAUAUAAUGAUCUAACAAUUAGAUGUGCCCUGUAACAGAGUGCGCUAUUGUAAAGUAAUGUUCUCCCAUCUUUCCAAGUAUUCAAGCAGAGAAUAGUCAAUAAUACAACUAACGACUGGAAGGGUUUCUUUUAUUCUAAGGUACUAUCAGAUGGAGGAACAUGUAGUUUGUGGUCAGUGACCUCAGGUUCUCACAUUCACGGUGCUGCAUCCUGGUUUUCAUUUGGGGACUGUUUUCUGGCACUCCCGCCUGUCUGGAGGUGAGAUAUGCUUGUUAUGACAACCCUUCUGUCACAAUAAAUUGGCUGGUGCAUUCAGUGUCAUCUAUGGCUUUUUACUUCUAUUAAUUCAUUAAUUCCGGGCCCCCAAGCGAAAGUUUCCAAAGGCCUUUUUUCUUCUUUGUUAAUUAUAACAUGAUAUCAAUCAGCACCCAAGCAGAAACUAGAAGAGUAUUCAAACUAGGUAAUUUGAGGAGAGUUUAAUAAAGCAACAGCUUACAAAGAUGUGGACAGUGGCUUAAGGAAGCCACUAAAGGAUGGCACAGUCCUCCAGGCUUGUGAUCAGGGGAGUCAUUACCAUCCCCCAGCCUGAAGAUCAAGAGGCUGGAGCUAUUUCCAGACCCUGAAGAGGGUGGUUGUAUGGAGAGGACUAUCUGAAAGAAGAGGCUGUAGCCAACACAAGAAAGCCAGGGAAUAAAUAAUCCAUCCUCACUCUCCUGCUGUUGCCUCUCAAUGGCCAAACCCAACCAUGAGCUGGGCAUGAAGGGAGCUAGCUGACAGCUAUAUGGCUCAGCUUCCUGGGGCCCAGAGCAGAGUGGAGCUGAGAAGAGAGUGAAUCUGGAGGGGUUAAUGGAAGAAACCACAGAAAGCAAAUUCCUCCCUGAGAUACAGUUGGUGCUUAGGCAAUAUUUGUACUGACAGGAAUGUGGCCACAUAUUUUGGAAAAGCUCAGGGACUCAAUCCUCUGCUAGCUGCUUUGAGGCCAUGUCUGCCGAAGUCACUGUCCUCUACAGGGUUUUUUCCUCAUGUUCAGUGUUUAGUCCUUUCCACCUUCACGAAAACGAUGCCUACUUAAUAUACAGAAAGGAGGACAUACAGAAAUUUUUCAUCUUAAUUGGAUAUUACAGUUGCCCCACUUUGGAGCCAAGAAGAGCUGAAUAAAGCUGAGAAACACCUAAACAGAAAGGCAAGUUUACCAUGAAGUAAGAAACGUAAGCUUUGGACCCCUUAAUUGCUUGAGCCUCCGUGAGUAUUGGGAGUUGGUGUGGGUUGUAGAAUGUUGUCAGUAGAGAGAGAAGUCAGAUUGCAUUUCUAUGUAAAUAUUUUGGGUAAAUUGCUUAGAGACAUGUCAGAAGAAAGGGACCUGGACUCUCAAGGCUCCAGUAACUUAUUAUGAAUCCUUUUCUUAUCCUUAAUAAAUAUUCUUUUUUGUACCUAACUUUAUAUUUCUAAUUUUAUGUUCUUUUUCUUGAGAAGGAUCAGCCAAAUAAUAUACGUUUUAGCCCCCACAAAACCUGGAUCACUCAACCUACAUGGAACUUUAAUCAUACUCAAACUAGGUCAGCAGUCAGUUUAAAGUGUAGGGGUAGGGGACAGUAAAAGGGACUUUAUAUGGAAGCCACGGAAAGUUUUCAUAGGAGAGAGAAAGAGUGCAUGUGCAUGUGGUACUAACAUGGACUCAAACUUUACUCCUGGCCACUGCUCCAUUUCUUUCUUGUAUAUUUGUGUUCCUUGAACAUAUACUUUAUACUAAAUGCAUCUACUUCUUAACCACAUAUAGGACAUUGACUUUCUUUAAUCAACUUUGUUCUCCUUCCCCUUGUACUUCUUCUAUCCCUAGAAGCUGCUACCCUCAACUAGGAUAUUUCUGGCAACUUCAGGAAAAUUGAAAGGACAAUUUCUAGUGCCAUUAUCUUUGCAACCUUUGACUGGAUGCCACCAGUUCACCCUUUUCAACUGUAAUUAUAAUGACUUCCUUAAAGUGUUGUCACUAACUCUGGCUUCUAUGACUUCAUUUGCUAUUUUACCACUUUCUGGUAUCUACUGGCAUUCUUGGGUAUAAUCUAGGAAUUAGUGCCCUUCCAUUGCAGUAGGUCCUGCCCAUCCUGAGACAACACACAUUUCCCUUCAAUCUUUUCCCUUGGUCUGUUUUCAUGUUGUUAACCUUCUUUUGCUGCUUCUUGCUGCUUUCUUCUCCCUCUAACUCAUCUCUCUGUUCAAUUCAUACAACUGAAUCUUCUUCCAUCUGGCCUAGUGAAACAAGCUCCUGGUAGGGCCCCCUUUCCCAGAUCUAACCUUCUUUCAUCAUUGCUCAGAGUGACUGUGACACAGGCAUCUCAAACCAUCCGACAUACCCCUCCACUCCUUAGGACUCUAUGGUGGCAUCCCUUAGCCCCAGGAAGCACAGGAGUCACAUCACUUUCUCAUUUAAGAUUCACUUGCUCAAAUCUUCUUUUGUCCAGUUCCACCCUACUUUUUCUAAAGCUGCAUGAUGCAUCUGUAGGCACUCCUUUGUACCACUUACUAUGUGUCAGACCUGGUAUCUUGAUUUGACCUCAUUUUGCUUACAGCAACCAUGUUUUUGUUUCUUGCAACAACCAAGUUUCUGUUUACUUACGGCAACCAAGUGAUUUCUGUUGUUAUCUCUAUUUCAUGGGUGAGGAAAUCGAGCAUUAGAGAGGGCAAAUAAAGUACCCAAAGUUAGAGAUUCGGCAAGUCUUUGGGUUCAUAAUAUUUGAACCCAAGCCCUCUGAUCCCAUAGUCCACAUUCUUAACCACUGUACCAGUGCUUCUCAAAGUAUAGACCACUGACCGUCGGCACCAGGGUCACUGGGUGCCUGUUAAAGUGCAAAUUCCUGGGUCCCAUUUUCUAUCUACUUACCUGAUGAAAAGGGAUCUGGUGAAAGAAUAUUCAAGGCAGAGAAAACAGCAACUGCUGAGGUGGGAAUAAGCAAGGAUCAGAAAAAGGGUGAGAGAGGCUGGAGCACAAUGAGCCCAGGAGGGUGGUAUGAGGUCCGGAGGCUUCGGAUUUUGGAUCUCUUUUCUUCUUUUCCUUUCCUUUUGCCUUUUGCCAUUCCUUUUGCCUUUUGCCUUUCCUUUCCUUUCCUUUCCUUUCCUUUCCUUUCCUUUCCUUUCCUUUCCUUUCUCUCUUUUUCUUUCUUUUUUGAGAGGGUUGCACUGUGUCACCCAGGCGGAAUGCAGUGACAAUCACAGCUCACUGCAGCCUUGACUUCCUGGGCUCAAGCAUUUCUCCCACUUCAGUCUCCCAAGUAGCUGGGACUACAAAUGCAUGCCACCACACCCGACUAACUUUUGUGUUAGGGGGUGGUCUCCCUGUGUUGCCCAGGCUGGUCUCAAACUCCUGGGCUCAAGCAAUUCUCCCGCCUCAGCCCCCCAAAGUGCUGGGAUUUUAAUUUUUUAUUUAGUUAGAUGGGAAGCUCUUGGACAGUGGUAAGCAGGCGAGCGAUAAGACCCACCUCACAUUUGAAC
rnacentral:lncRNA from 1 species